AUUCCUUCCUUUGCUGCACCUGGGCUAAAAGCAUGGGCAUGACAGUAUUUCCAGCAGAAACGAACCCAGCUCUGUGUCAGCUCUGCAGUGUGAACCACUAGAUGGCAAGGUGACCCCAGCAAGACAAAACGAGCUCGGCAGGAUUGUGAGACACUGAGUGCUGCAGGAAGGAAGCAUUUCUGCCCCUCCUUCCUCCCCAGCUGUUGUAACAUCAGUCUGCUGCAAACGUGGCUUUGGCAGGACCAGUUUGGGCCCUGCCCAGGAUCGUGCUCACUGAGUCAUCAUAGUAUCCCCUGGCUCUCACGUGGUAAUCAUUAAAGCCAUACAGCACCCCAGUGCCAUGGGAAUGCUUUGAGUGAUUCUGAGAAAGGCAUUGGGAAGAGUGGGGUGGAGAGCAUCUUUAGCACUGUAAUGAGAAACAUUUGUACAAGUCAGCUUUGGGACUUAGCCAGGGCAUGUAUUUCCCUUCCCAGCCUAGAUUCUCUGCUCUGCUCUGUUUCAGUCUUACGCUGUUUGCCCACACCCCAGCAGGCUGUGUCACACAAGGGCAGCAAGUCUCAUGUAGCCUGUCAAAAUGUCCCAUACCUUGCGAGGUGAGUGGGGCAAGCUGCUGCCUCUGCAGGGCUCACAGGGGGCUUGUGUUGCCCGUCGGAUGCUGCCCAUGGCGGCAGGGCUUUGCCAGCCUGCGCAGGAAUUCAUGGUUUCAGCUGUACACAGAACUUCAGGUGUGCCCUGGCUCACUGCAUCCCUACAGUGCCAGCACAUGCACUGUUUAGGGUUUUGGGCUAGACCUGCACCUCUAAUCUGCUCUUUUACUCUUUGAGGUGCCAGUUAGGCUGGUAGGGAAAGUCAGGUGACAAGUUUCCCACAUGAUAUAAGGAGCUGUGCAGAAAAAAGCCCGUCAUUGGUGCUGAGCUGGGAAGGGCAGUGGGCUGAGGGCUCUCAGGAGUAGCCCACUCUGCCUUUGGGGAGUGGGAGAUGGUGUCACCUCACCUACCCUGGGGUUUGUGCUCCACUCUCACCC